UGCCAGCAGCCGCGGUAUACGUAGGGUGCGAGCGUUGUCCGGAAUUACUGGGCGUAAAGAGCUCGUAGGUGGUUUGUCGCGUUGUUCGUGAAAUCUCACGGCUUAACUGUGAGCGUGCGGGCGAUACGGGCAGACUAGAGUACUGCAGGGGAGACUGGAAUUCCUGGUGUAGCGGUGGAAUGCGCAGAUAUCAGGAGGAACACCGGUGGCGAAGGCGGGUCUCUGGGCAGUAACUGACGCUGAGGAGCGAAAGCGUGGGGAGCGAACAGGAUUAGAUACCCUGGUAGUCCACGCCGUAAACGGUGGGUACUAGGUGUGGGUUUCCUUCCUUGGGAUCCGUGCCGUAGCUAACGCAUUAAGUACCCCGCCUGGGGAGUACGGCCGCAAAGCUAAAACUCAAAGGAAUUGACGGGGGCCCGCACAAGCGGCGGAGCAUGUGGAUUAAUUCGAUGCAACGCGAAGAACCUUACCUGGGUUUGACAUGCACAGGACGCGUCUAGAG
rnacentral:rRNA from 1 species